CUAGUAACUGCGAGUGAAGCGGGAAAAGCUCAAAUUUGAAAUCUGGCAGUCUUUUUUUUCUUCUUUGGCUGUCCGAGUUGUAAUCUAGAGAAGUGCUUACCUGCACUGGACCAUGUAUAAGUCUCCUGGAAUGGAGCGUCGCAGAGGGUGAGAAUCCCGUCUUUGACAUGGACUGCCAGUGUGUUGUGGUGUGCUCUCAAAGAGUCGAGUUGUUUGGGAAUGCAGCUCUAAAUGGGUGGUAAACUCCAUCUAAAGCUAAAUAUUGGCGAGAGACCGAUAGUGAACAAGUACCGUGAGGGAAAGAUGAAAAGGACUUUGGAAAGAGAGUUAAACAGUAUGUGAAAUUGUUGAAAGGGAAACGCUUGAAGUCAGUUAUGUUGGCUAGGGAUCAACCUAGCUACUUUUGCUGGGUGAAUUUCCUAGUCUUACAGGCCAACAUCAGUCUUGACUGCUAGAAAAGAGCAGAGGGAAUGUGGCACCUUUGGGUGUGUUAUAGCCCUUUGUCAUAUGUGGCAGUCGGGACUGAGGGAUGCAGCAUGCCGCGAGGCUGGGUUUCUGACCACGUUCAUGCUUAGGAUGUUGGCUUUUAAUGGCUUCAAUCGACCCGUCUUGAAACACGGACCAAGGAGUCUAACAUGCCUGCGAGUGUUUGGGUGGGGAAAACCCUUGUGCACAAUGAAAGUGAAAGUUGAGAUCCCUGUCAUGGGGAGCAUCGACGCCCGGACUUGAGCUUUUAGCGACGGAUCCGCGGUAGAGCAUGCAUGUUGGGACCCGAAAGAUGGUGAACUAUGCCUGAAUAGGGCAAAGCCAGAGGAAACUCUGGUGGAGGCUCGUAGCGAUUCUGACGUGCAAAUCGAUCGUCAAAUUUGGGUAUAGGGGCGAAAGAUAAUCG
rnacentral:rRNA from 1 species